AGCGAGCGCUGGCGGCAGGCUUAACACAUGCAAGUCGAACGCCCCGCAAGGGGAGUGGCAGACGGGUGAGUAACACGUGGGAACGUACCCUUUGGUUCGGAAUAACUUGGGGAAACUCAAGCUAAUACCGGAUAAGCCCUUAUGGGGAAAGGUUUACUGCCGAAGGAUCGGCCCGCGUCCGAUUAGCUAGUUGGUGAGGUAAUGGCUCACCAAAGCGACGAUCAGUAGCUGGUCUGAGAGGAUGAUCAGCCACACUGGGACUGAGACACGGCCCAGACUCCUACGGGAGGCAGCAGUGGGGAAUAUUGGACAAUGGGGGCAACCCUGAUCCAGCCAUGCCGCGUGAGUGAUGAAGGCCUUAGGGUUGUAAAGCUCUUUUACCCGGGACGAUAAUGACUGUACCGGGAGAAUAAGCCCCGGCUAACUUCGUGCCAGCCGCCGCCGUAAGAC
rnacentral:rRNA from 1 species